CCUACGGGUGGCAGCAGUGAGGAAUAUUGGUCAAUGGCCGUAAGUCUGAACCAGCCAAGUAGCGUGAGGGAAGACUGCCCUAUGGGUUGUAAACCUCUUUUAUGCGGGGAUAAAUGUUUCCACGUGUGGAUGUUUGCAGGUACCGCAUGAAUAAGGACCGGCUAAUUCCGUGCAAGCAGCCGCGGUAAUACGGAAGGUCCGGGCGUUAUCCGGAUUUAGUGGGUUUAAGGGGAGCGUAGGCCGGUCUUUAGGCGUGCCGUGAAAUUUUGUGGCUCAACCAUGAGAGUGCGGUGCGAACUGGAGACCUUGAGUGCGCGGAAGGCAGGCGGAAUUCGUGGUGUAGCGGUGAAAUGCUUAGAUAUGACGAAGAACCCCGAUUGCGAAGGCAGCUUGCUGCAGCGGAACUGACGCUGAUGCUCGAAAGCGCGGGUAUCGAACAGGAUUAGAUACCCCUGUAGUC
rnacentral:rRNA from 1 species